UUCAAGCCAUCAGGUCAGGGCCA
rnacentral:piRNA from 1 species